rnacentral:RNase_P_RNA from 1 species
GGGGCGGUUCAGAUGGCUGCCGGGCCUAGCUCGGAGGAAAGUCCGGCCACCACAAGGCAGGAAUGCGGGUAACACCCGCCGGAGGCGACUCCAGGGGCAGGCAACAGAAAACAAACCGCCGUUCCCGUUUGGGGGCGGCAAGGGUGAAAUGGCGGGGUAAGAGCCCACCGCGCCGGCGGUAACGCCGGCGGCACGGCGACUGUCCUUCCGGUGCAAACGCAAAUAGGGGGUGAGGCGGCCCUUCCCCAGGGAUUGGCCGACGCGGGGUUGCCUGCCCCGCCAGAAACCCCGGGUAGCGCGCUAGAGGCGGGCGGCGACGCCCGUCCCAGAUAAAUAGCCAUCCUCGACAGAAGCCGGCUUAACGAUCCACCCCGCGA